rnacentral:lncRNA from 1 species
CCACCCACCCAAAAGAAUGAGCAACAUAGAGAGAGAGAGAAAAAGGAAAAAAGAUCUGGCGAGAAAAACUACCAUAAGAAUUACAAACAAGAAACGAAAAUCAAACAGAAGUCUGAAAAUUUGGGCUUGGGAACCUGAAGGUCUUCUCUCUCUAUUUUGACUAGCUCUAAAAUCUAAUAGAACUUACGAAAAUGAAGGCAGAGGAUGUUUAAUACGGCGACCGGAUAGAGGAGGCCAGAGGAGGAAACCGGCGAGAGAGAGGAGAGAAAAGAAUGAGCAACAUAGAGAGAGAGAGAAAAAGGAAAAAAGAUCUGGCGAGAAAAACUACCAUAAGAAUUACAAACAAGAAACGAAAAUCAAACAGAAGUCUGAAAAUUUGGGCUUGGGAACCUGAAGGUCUUCUCUCUCUAUUUUGACUAGCUCUAAAAUCUAAUAGAACUUACGAAAAUGAAGGCAGAGGAUGUUUAAUACGGCGACCGGAUAGAGGAGGCCAGAGGAGGAAACCGGCGAGAGAGAGGAGAGGAGGGUGGGG